UACGUAGGGGGCAAGCGUUAUCCGGAAUUACUGGGUGUAAAGGGAGCGUAGACGGAUAAGCAAGUCCGGAGUGGAAUGCAUCAGCUCAACUGAUGAACUGCUCUGGAAACUGUUAAUCUGGAGUGCAGGAGGGGUAAGUGGAAUUCCUGGUGUAGCGGUGAAAUGCGUAGAUAUCAGGAGGAACACCGGUGGCGAAGGCGGCUUACUGGACUGUAACUGACGUUGAGGCUCGAAAGCGUG
rnacentral:rRNA from 1 species